GGGGGCCCGCACAAGCGGCGGAGCAUGCGGAUUAAUUCGAUGCAACGCGAAGAACCUUACCAAGGCUUGACAUACACCGGUAACGCCCAGAGAUGGGUGCCCCUUUGUGGUCGGUGGACAGGUGGUGCAUGGUUGUCGUCAGCUCGUGUCGUGAGAUGUUGGGUUAAGUCCCGCAACGAGCGCAACCCUCGUCCUAUGUUGCCAGCGGGUCAUGCCGGGGACUCAUGGGAGACUGCCGGGGUCAACUCGGAGGAAGGUGGGGAUGACGUCAAAUCAUCAUGCCCCUUAUGUCUUGGGCUUCACGCAUGCUACAAUGGCCGGUACAAAGGGCUGCGAUACCGCGAGGUGGAGCGAAUCCCAGAAAGCCGGUCUCAGUUCGGAUUGGGGUCUGCAACUCGACCCCAUGAAGUCGGAGUCGCUAGUAAUCGUAGAUCAGAAUGCCUACGGUCGAAUACGUUCCGGGCCUU
rnacentral:rRNA from 1 species